rnacentral:snRNA from 1 species
GGAUGUGAGGGUGAUCUGGCUGCGACAUCUAUCACCCCAUUGAUGGCCAGGGUUGAUUCAGCUGAUCUGGCUGGCUAGGCGGAUGUCCCCUUCCUCCCUGACCACUCCAUGUGUGUCCUUACCGAAACUGCACGCUCGGUAGAAGAGAACGACCUUCCACGAUAGAGGAGAAGACCGUUCUUCGGUCAAGUAUAUAGGAGUAGCUUCGCUUCCCUGCUAGAACCUCCAAACAAGCUCUCAAAAUUUUCCUUGGCAGCUCCUCAAUUCUAAUAUUCUAAAAAUGUCUUU